rnacentral:misc_RNA from 1 species
GCAGAGCCUCACAGAGCUGAGGCCAGGUAAUCAGGACGCGCACGUUGAGUCACGGGUCCAGAUGGAGUAGUUUGGCAGCGUUUCGGCGCCACAAGGUUGGGUCUCGAACUUGUCCCGUUACGUCUUCGUACAGGUCUGUGAAGCGAUCUGUCCAGGCAUCGUUCACUGGAGCACUCCCUGUCCUCAUCUCUCCCUUGUGGUAGAUUGGUGCGAUCUCCAAACAUUGUUUGGGUGGGCCAAGUCUCGUUCGGAUCUAGCGCCAAAGUUCAUCUUCGGUGGCGCACUCGUACGUAGCCUUGGCUAGAGGAGCGUUUCUGGGUUUUUAUCGGCUCGUAUGUGUUCUCUGCAUAGGUUCGUCGUUCUUUUGGGAGCUUCCGCACGCUGCGCCUUUAGCACCGAUAGGGCUGCGGCUGCUCUGUUGUCGUCGUCGUUGGCUUGUAUGGCGGUGCGAAUGACGACCUUGUCGAGUUAGUGGCCUUCAAGUAUCCGUGCUCUGGUACGUCGGUUCGGGAACUGCGGGUUGCUAUUAUUGCGUUCUGGUGCAAGCAGUCCCAGUUCUCUGGCAAUCAUCUGAUUCCUAUGGACGAACUCGCAUCUCAAAUAGUCUAAGGGUUUGCGCGCACGGGUAUUCGCGUCUGUGGCGCCACAAGCGGGUGGCCGAGCAUGUUGGCUGUUUUCCUGAGUUCUCGUUAGGGUUCUCAUUCGGGGGAUGAGUUGAGAUGCGUUUGCGGGGGGGCCAGAGCUGUAAGCCCUUUUGUCAGUCGUUUCUUUUGUUGGUCCGUUUGUUCUUGCAUGUCUUCCUCUUUGAGCCCUGUUCUGGGUCGCUUUCUCCGGUUGAUCUUCUGCUACGCGGGGAAUGAGGCUUCUGUGUCUCCUCCUUCAUAUCCCGCUGCAUCUCUUUCGCUGAUGUACAGUCCGCUAUUGGUAUCACUUUUUCGUUAUUGUGCUGGUUACUGGAUUUCUCCUUUCGGGAAGCGGCUCGUGACUUUUUGGUUAGUUUCAGGCCUUAUCCAUCAAGGAUGCACCCGCUGGUGACCUCUGUUGUGCAGUCUGUGCUACCACCAUUGCUGUCUCAAAGCUUUUGUCCCUCGGGCGCGAGUGCCAUGUGCAGUGAAUAGGCUACUGGUCUGAGGCGUCCCAAAGACUGUCAACGGCGAUAUGCUGGAGUGCUGGGUCGCAUCCCUCACUUAGGAUGUGAUCUAUAGAUGAGCGAAGCAAACGUUGGCCGCUUAGGCGGUGCCACGUCAAGAGUGACCGUCUGCACGGAUACACCGAUAGGAAUGCGCAUCCCAGUCGUUGUAGGUGUUGCCCAAGUUGGUUCGCCGACAUGUCACAGUCCCCCAUAAUGGUCAUCGGUUCACUACCCCGUGAGCUACAUCUCAAGCGCUGGAUAUUGGAGGCCAACUGUUUCAGCGCCUGCCGGCGCAUCUCUGCAGCAUGUGGAAUAUGAAUAGAGCCUACAAGCGAAGUUAUGAUUUCACCUGCGAUUGUAACACGCACUAAGAGCAUCCAUGGUGACGGGUUACCGAGCGCUUCGCAAGUGAGGCGUCGAUCCACAGUGAGCGCCACUCCACCUGUGCAUAAAUAAAUAAGUUAACUUGUCCGUAGGGCCUGCGUAUGUAGGUUCAAACGUUGUUGUAGCCUGGGAUGUGCAGACUAUUAUAGGCAUUUGUGUUCUCUGAGCGUAGUGUCUCCCGCAACGCCAGGCUAUGGGCGUCUCAGCGCUCCCGGAAGUGCCUUGCAUCGUCCAGUCUCGCGGCUGUCCCGCAAAUGUUCCACGAUGCGAAACCUAUCGAGUGGUAGCUCGUCAUUGAUUAGGAAUAGCGUUGCGGUGCUCCAGAGUUGUGCCGUCGAUUUAGACGCACCCGCCACGGAGUGUGUGAGCGCACAUGCCACCAGUGCCUUCUACACUCCAGUCGUUCAUUGAGUGCUUGCCGCAGUGGUAGCGCAGUGUUAGGAGUCGAGCUGGCGGGGUCGAUUCGAAAGCGGCCGUUACGCUGCGUGGCGCGUGAUGCAACCCUCGACCACUCGGGAUAUAGUCUACUAACGACCCUUUCAACGGCUUCGGAUCCGCUCCCCAAACAUGUAGGCGGGUAAGUCGCUUAUUCCACCUUCGACCGCGAACAACCUGCCUGCCGUCUUCCAAAACCUCCGCCGAGACUUCCCCAAAGUUGAAGAAAAAACUAAAGUAGGAGGUAAACCUGAG